rnacentral:rRNA from 1 species
AUUGAACGCUGGCGGCAUGCUUUACACAUGCCAGUCGAACGGCAGCACAGGGAGCUUGCUCCUGGGUGGCGAGUGGCGAACGGGUGAGUAAUGUAUCGGAACGUGCCUGGUAGUGGGGGAUAACUACUCGAAAGAGUGGCUAAUACCGCAUGAGAUCUUUGGAUGAAAGCGGGGGACCUUCGGGCCUCGUGCUACUGGAGCGGCCGACAUCAGAUUAGGUUGUUGGUGGGGUAAAGGCCUACCAAGCCUGCGAUCUGUAGCUGGUCUGAGAGGACGACCAGCCACACUGGGACUGAGACACGGCCCAGACUCCUACGGGAGGCAGCAGUGGGGAAUUUUGGACAAUGGGCGCAAGCCUGAUCCAGCAAUGCCGCGUGCAGGACGAAGGCCUUCGGGUUGUAAACUGCUUUUGUACAGAACGAAAAGUCUCUGGCUAAUAUCUAGAGAUCAUGACGGUACUGUAAGAAUAAGCACCGGCUAACUACGUG